GGGAAGAAAAUGGCGAAGAAUCAGAACAGAGGAGAAUAAAUUUUUACUGCCUUGCUAUUUAAAAUUAUUUUAAAUAAUGGCUUUUCUUCAGACUUUCCUGAAAGUCUUGUGUCUUAUUCAGAGAAUGUUCUAAGAUCUCCUUUUAUCCUUGUUUUUGUUUGUGUCUUGCCGUGAAAAAGGGAAAAGAACCUCUCCUGAAUUUGAGCAUCCCCACUUGGAUGUUGGGGUUCAUUUACUGUGAGGGACGUUGCAAAUCACACAGCAAACAGGCUGCCACUGGCCCGUAUGCUCCCAUUGUACUCUGUAGCUCUACACAUAAAUCUUUAGGUGUGCUUUGUGAGGGCAAAAAGUACAGGAUUGCUUUCCAAGUAAUUUAUUACUUUAAGAUCUUUGUUUGUACAUCGUUUUCAAAUUACUGGCUGUUAACUUGACAGAAGCAGGUGAAUGGAUGUCAGGUUUUAAAACUGCCUGUAAUACUGGCACGGUUGAAUUUGGUGGUCAAACUUGAUGUGCCUUCAGACAAGGUAUUAGGAUUUCAGCCUGUGUUCAGUAAAAUCAAACCCAUGAUUCUGUAACAUUGUUAUGCUUUCAAAAAGCAUUGGUCUGUGCAUCCUGAAAAGCCUUGAUUUUUAUAUGAUUACUUAAGAAAAGCAAAAAACCAAGACUGUUGUCUUCAGUAGAACUAUUUACGUGCUUAACCAAUAAGCAUUUUCCUAAGGAUUUUCCCGUUCUAAGUGCUUCCAUUCUGGGCUUCAGUCCUGAUGGCAAUUCGCAGACCAGUCCAAAUACGUUCAUAAGAAACAUGGAUGAUUUGCUAGGAGGAUGAGUCAAUUAAUUAUUGACUAUGCAUAGGUGUUUCUUAGGUAAGCUUUAAUGAUUUACUUCCUCUUUGUUGUUUGGACUUUUCCACCUAUUUACCGUACUUGGGGAGCUGUGGGGUUAUUGGUACUCCCUGAAUCUGCCCAUCUGCCUAAACUAAAACGAUUGAAAUUUCUUGUGAAAUGAGGGUCAAUUAACUGUUCUAUAACACUGCCUUUCUUAUGAAAAGGGAGCAAGUAUUUUGGGUAGAAUUUGUCUGAAUGUUACAUCUUGAGUUAAAGCAUCCCACCGUCAUUAUUAUCCCUGUAAUCAAAAGGAGGAAGAUGAGGAAAACUGUCAUAUGGCCAUAUUUGCCUGUUAACAAUGGUGAGACAAGUAAGAAGAAUUGAGAUUAAUCACGUUUAAAACAAGCAAAUCGGUAUGCAUUAGAUAUUGUACGUGCAUACUAAUUUCCUGCAAACCUUACUGUUUUGUUUAACCACACUACUGUAAACAUUCACUUUGCAUGGGGGGGGGGGGGGGCGGGGAGGGAGUACUCUUACUUUGUGAAUGCCUGAUAAGUUAACCUACAUGAAAGAUGGAUGAUGUUUCCUUUAAUCAAAGCUAUAGCAGUAAAUUUUUCCACCCCUCCUCACAGAGUAAUGCCAACUUCUGAAGUAAAAGUACCGAGGGAAUAGAUGAUUACUGCAUUUGAGUAAAAUUGACAACUUGUUGCCAUAUGAUUUUUUUGUUAAGGAAUGUGUAAAAAAAUUGUAAAAAUAUUUAAGAACAGUAGUGACAAAUAUUUUGGAAUAUAAACUACUACACAUCUCAGGAAGAAAUUUUUAAUGUAUUCUUUGUGUUGUAAUUUAUAUUUGCGUAAAAUGAUGGUUUCUUGAGAAAAAGCAAAUUAUUUCAUGAUGUUAAUUAUUUUUAUUAUAUUAGCUUGUACCUGCUGAUUAUCCAUCUUUUCUUAUUCCAGGUGUGUAGUGGCAUAGAACUGGGAGCAGGCUAGAGGCUUUCCAUAUUUGUAACAGCUUGAUAGCAACCCUGCCACCUCUAUUAAUUCUUUGACACUCAGCUUGCUCAGCAUUGCCAGCCAAACACAGCAAGAUUGCUCCUGGGUUUGGAAAUCAAUCAUACGAGUGGUUGCAGAAUUGGAAACUCUGCUGCAGCAGAAAGAUCUGCUGAAUAAGAGAACUGGGAACUACACACGUGCCUGAGUCUCAGGCGCACCUCUUAAAGAUAAUCUUUCUCACCGUUUUGAUGUACGCCUUUUGUAAAAGCAGAAGAUUUAUUAGUUAAGUUAAACCAGACCAGUUAAACUACUUAAACUAGCCAGGAUCCUUUUAAGUGACACUGACUUGAUUGUGAAUGUGCCGUACUGUAGUUGCCUUGCAUUGCAAUAGAUACUAUUGUACGUAUUCCUAAGUUUGAGUAAAAGUGCUUGCCUGUCUUUUGGUAUGUUUUGAAUGCCUCAGUUUCAAUUCAAGUCGCUUUUGAGUCAGAAAGUAGAGCAGUGUAUGUGGACAUCUCUGAGGGCACAUUUUUGACUAGCAAGCUAAAAAUGCUCAUUAGGUGUUAAGCUAACUUUGUAUUGCGCUGCAAUUAUUACGUCGUCGUUUGCUUUGUUAUUUAAUUACAUGUUAUUUCAUGAUGGGCAGUGGGUGAUUGAAAUAAUUCCCUGUAGCUUUAUGGCCCUAUUUACCAACAGAAAUGCUCAUGAGACCUAUUGUGAUUCAUUAAAUUACCUCUUGGAACCAGUGUUCAUGUUCAUUCCAAAUGAUGCGCAUCAGUCAUUUUGAUUCGAUUAAACAUGGGAUAGCACUCGGCUGUAUUAAUUUCAGGUGUUUACAGCCCAUCCUGAUCGAUGCAGGCUUUGAAUAUGAGCACGGGGUUCUGUUGCCACAUUGUACAGAGGCAAAACUGUCAGAUUUCACUGUGGCAAUGAUUUGGCUUCAUGCUGAUGAGAAGAAUCGUGGCUUUUCCUCUUGAGUUCGCUUUAUGAACACUCCUUUUGUAUGCUUUUGUAACUGAUACGAACCUAUACAUAGUAACGCUACUAAAUAAACUUCAGGAUAGGAAAUAUC